rnacentral:tRNA from 1 species
GGUGGAGUGGCCCAGCGGCGACGGCAGCGGCCUGUAAAUCCGCGACACAGAAACACCGCAGGUUCGAAUCCUGCCUCCACCA